GGGAGCAGGCUCUGAGGAGGGCACACAGGUAAGCACAGCCUGUGGGUGUCGGUUCAACUCCGGCUGCUCCCUCCA
rnacentral:tRNA from 1 species